GCCGUUGUAGCUCAGUUGGUAGAGCAGCUGAUUCGUAAUCAGCAGGUCGCCGGUUCGAGUCCGGCCAACGGCUCCA
rnacentral:tRNA from 1 species